CUAAUUAAAACACACAUACAUCGACACUGACCUCGGGGUGUCCAAGUUAAUAGCUGCUAAGGCAAUGUUAAUGCGGAUCGAGCGAAGGGAUGUAUGGAGGCCUAAC
rnacentral:sRNA from 1 species